rnacentral:rRNA from 1 species
UUGCAUAUCAAUAAGCGGAGGAAAAGAAACUAACAAGGAUUCCCCUAGUAACGGCGAGUGAAGCGGCAACAGCUCAAAUUUGAAAUCUGGCGUCUUCGGCGUCCGAGUUGUAAUUUGCAGAGGGCGCUUUGGCAUUGGCAGCGGUCCAAGUUCCUUGGAACAGGACGUCACAGAGGGUGAGAAUCCCGUACGUGGUCGCUAGCCUUUACCGUGUAAAGCCCCUUCGACGAGUCGAGUUGUUUGGGAAUGCAGCUCUAAAUGGGAGGUAAAUUUCUUCUAAAGCUAAAUACUGGCCAGAGACCGAUAGCGCACAAGUAGAGUGAUCGAAAGAUGAAAAGCACUUUGGAAAGAGAGUUAAAAAGCACGUGAAAUUGUUGAAAGGGAAGCGCUUGCAGCCAGACUUGCCUGUAGUUGCUCAUCCGGGUUUCUACCCGGUGCACUCUUCUAUAGGCAGGCCAGCAUCAGUUUGGGCGGUUGGAUAAAGGUCUCUGUCAUGUACCUCUCUUCGGGGAGAACUUAUAGGGGAGACGACAUGCAACCAGCCUGGACUGAGGUCCGCGCAUCUGCUAGGAUGCUGGCGUAAUGGCUGU